rnacentral:lncRNA from 1 species
AGUGUAUUAUCUGGUCAAUGGAUGUUUAUGAAAGGUUAGAGAUACAUGACAUAUGCAUGAUGCUGAUGCAAUAUGAUUAACUCCUUUCUUUUUUUUCAACAAGCUCUUUGUAUUUUUUAAACAACUUUUCUUUUUUCUAUUUUUAUUUUUGUUUUUUCAAAACUCUCUGGCAAGCACUGAGAACAUUUUCCGCUGGGGAGAAAGGGUGGAAGGUGUUUGAAAAAUGGUUUACCCGGUGGAACCGGGACUUUGAUGUGACGGCUGAGGAAGAAGGGAUAUGGAUUGACCUAUCUAGAACUAGGUCCUUAGAGGGGGUUUAUAUAUUUUUGGUUUAUUUAUGAU